UUGUCCCAUAUCUGAUCGCUUGGGUAUAUAAUAACAACGGACAUUUGAAACAUUGUAUUCUGUAGUGAUAAUGAACGCCAAAGCAAUAUUUUUAGUUUGCCUUAUGCUGGCAUGCUUGAUAGCAUCUGCCUACGCUUCUGCUAAUCCAGGGGGCGAUUUAGUAAAAUCUAAUCCAUCCAAUAGAGCUACAGACAACAGCGAUCAAAACGCAAAUCUCGGCCAAGCUCAACAGGAACGAAGAGGACUAUUUGGUUGAAAGUCGCCGUCCCAAUGGUUUAUAAAUAAAAAAAUCUAAUUAUAAUUAAA